rnacentral:rRNA from 1 species
AACGAACGCUGGCGGCAUGCCUAACACAUGCAAGUCGAACGAGACCUUCGGGUCUAGUGGCGCACGGGUGCGUAACGCGUGGGAACCUGCCCUUAGGUUCGGAAUAACUCCCCGAAAGGGGUGCUAAUACCGGAUAAUGUCUUCGGACCAAAGAUUUAUCGCCUUUGGAUGGGCCCGCGCUGGAUUAGCUAGUUGGUAGGGUAAAAGCCUACCAAGGCGACGAUCCAUAGCUGGUCUGAGAGGAUGAUCAGCCACACUGGGACUGAGACACGGCCCAGACUCCUACGGGAAGCAGCAGUGGGGAAUAUUGGACAAUGGGCGAAAGCCUGAUCCAGCAAUGCCGCGUGAGUGAUGAAGGCCUUAGGGUUGUAAAGCUCUUUUACCCGGGAUGAUAAUGACAGUACCGGGAGAAUAAGCUCCGGCUAACUCCGUG